rnacentral:rRNA from 1 species
GACGAACGCUGGCGGCGUGCCUAAUACAUGCAAGUCGAACGAGAGCAACCGGUGCUUGCACUGGUCAAUCUAGUGGCGAACGGGUGAGUAACACGUGGGUAGCCUGCCCAUCAGAGGGGGAUAACAUCCGGAAACGGAUGCUAAAACCGCAUAGGUCUUCGAACCGCAUGGUUUGAAGAGGAAAAGAGGCGCAAGCUUCUGCUGAUGGAUGGACCCGCGGUGCAUUAGCUAGUUGGUGAGGUAACGGCUCACCAAGGCCGUGAUGCAUAGCCGACCUGAGAGGGUGAUCGGCCACAUUGGGACUGAGACACGGCCCAAACUCCUACGGGAGGCAGCAGUAGGGAAUCUUCCGCAAUGGACGCAAGUCUGACGGAGCAACGCCGCGUGAGUGAAGAAGGUUUUCGGAUCGUAAAACUCUGUUGUUAGAGAAGAACAAGUGCUAGAGUAACUGUUAGCGCCUUGACGGUAUCUAACCAGAAAGCCACGGCUAACUACGUG